rnacentral:tRNA from 1 species
GACUCCGUGGCGCAAUGGUAGAGCGUCUGACUCCAGAUCAGAAGGUUGCGUGUUCAAAUCACGUAGGGGUCA